rnacentral:lncRNA from 1 species
AUGGUGCUUUACACUGACACAUUUCUGCACAAGGACUUUAAUUACUCUCACAGGGACCCUUCAUUUUGCAUGUUUUGCUGUUUCUGCCUUAAUCUUUCAGAGAUGUGGAGGGCUGUGUCCAGGGCGUCUGAAUUCCUUACAGGCAACUGGUUCUGGGGAAGAAACAGAAAGAAACAGAAGGAACAGGAUACAGUCAGGUUUCCAUGAAAAGAUGAAUCUGAGUUUAAACUGCUGAUAAGCCUAAGAAAAUAUGGAAUUUUCACCUCAAGAAGAGAGUCUGUGCCUAUCUUCUGAUACAUUUAUCAUGGACUAGAAAACUGAACAAUUUACCAUGUUCCUGUGGCUGCCCCUGGAUCCCUGGCAGUGCCCAAGGCCAGCUUGGACAUUGGGGCUGGAGCACCUGGGACACUGGGAGCUGGCCCUGCCAUGGCUGGGGUGGGAAUGGGUGAGUUUUAAGAUUCUUUCCAAACUGGGCCAUUUUGUGAUUCAAUGAUUCUGUGAUCAGUUCUGGAUAGCUCUCAACUAAACAAACUGUUACUC